UCAGAAUUUGAAGCCAGAAUGAUCUAC
rnacentral:piRNA from 1 species